UUUGAUCCUGGCUCAGGAUGAACGCUAGCGGCAGGCCUAACACAUGCAAGUCGAACGGUUCUCCGCUUGCGUGGAAGACGAGUGGCGCACGGGUGCGUAACGCGUAUACAAUCUGCCUUUUACAAAGGGAUAGCCCAUGGAAACGUGGAUUAAUACCUUAUAACAUCAUUUUAUGGCAUCNUAGAGUGAUCAAAGAUUUAUCGGUNAANGAGGAGUAUGCGUGACAUUAGCUAGUUGGUGAGGUAACGGCUCACCAAGGCUACGAUGUCUAGGGGUUCUGAGAGGAAGAUCCCCCACACUGGUACUGAGACACGGACCAGACUCCUACGGGAGGCAGCAGUGAGGAAUAUUGCGCAAUGGAGGAAACUCUGACGCAGCCAUGCCGCGUGAAGGAAGAAAGCCCUAUGGGUUGUAAACUUCUUUUAUAUGGGAAGAACUUUUCUNCGUGU
rnacentral:rRNA from 1 species